rnacentral:lncRNA from 1 species
UACGGACUAGAAGGUGUGAUCUUUGGACUAGUAGGCGAGUAUGCUAGGGAAGGGCUGUAUCUGGCUGAGGGAUUGUAACUCGGUGAUGUAAGUAUGCUAGGGAAGGGCUGUAUCUGGCUGAGGGAUUGUAACUCGGUGAUGUAGGGCUGUAACUUGGAGAGGUAGGGCUGUAACUGGGGGAGGUGGGGCUAUAUCCAGGAGAGGUUGGGCUAUAUGCAGGUGAGGUGGGGCUGUAUGAUGGAGAAGUUGGACUGUAUGACGGAGAGGUGGGGCUGUACGAUGGAGAAGUUGGACUAUACGAUGGAGAAGUCGGACUGUAUGACGGAGAAGUCGGGCUGUACGCAGGAGAAGUCGGGCUGUAUGCUGGGGAAGUUGGGCUGUACGCAGGAGAAGUAGGGCUGUAACUUGGAGAUGUAGGGCUGUAACUUGGCGACGUUGGGCUGUAACUAGGUGAUGUUGGGCUGUAAC